GAAGUACUCCCUCUGUCCCAAAAUUCUUGUCUUAGAUUUAUCUAGAUAUGAAUGUAUCUAGUCACGUUUUAGUAUUUUGAUACAUCCAUUUCUAGACAAACUUAAGACAUAAAUUUUCGAACCGACGGAGUAUUAG
rfam:Hordeum vulgare subsp. vulgare, WGS project CAJW01000000 data, contig: morex_contig_50395